GAGAAAUUCAAGAUGUUAGAAAAAAUUCCCAUUAAAUGCAAGUUUGAGAUCUGACAGAAUCUAGAAAUCUCCUUUCCCCCUCACCACAUACAUUGUUCUUUAGGUCUCAGAUUUCCAAAUCAUUAUUAGGAAAAAGAUUGUCCUCUACAGUAAUCUCAGUUUUUGGAGUUUUAUUCCUCUAUAAUAGUAAUUUAGGAAGUAAAUGGGGCCACCUUAAGGAAUUAUAAUGAUAUACUCAGGGUUUAGAAUUCAACGUUUCUCAAAGUCCUUCAAUAAAAAGGUAAGAUUUUGUCUCAAAUUUUUAAAUCACCAAUACCCUUACUAUAUUAUCAAGAAUUCCUAUUCAGUAAGUUACAUUAUAAUGUUACAAAACUAAUAACAGAAAGAAAAAGAACUGGUACCAGGGGAUUCAUGCUGUACUCAAACUUACUGAUAGAAAAAAGUAUUUAAAACAUUUUUUUAAAGAAGGAAAGAAAGAAAACAAUAUUCUGGCAGAAUUUGUGGGAAAUAGUGACUAUUUUUGUUUUUAAAAUGCUUUGUGAACAGCAGAUAAUAAUUUCUGCCAUUCAACAGAAACUACAUUAGAUUUGUCAUUUAGAUCUUGGCCACCUGCAGCUUGCACUCAUAACCUGGGUUAUGAAGAUUAAAAGUAUUUUAAUCAGUAUUGUUGCAGAAUUCAGUUACUUGUUAUUAAGAGUCAAGAUUCUGCAAACAACUUUCUUUUCCUUCUUCUCCAACCAAAAUUAAUCCAAAAACUUGAACGUUACUAAGGAC
rnacentral:lncRNA from 1 species